GUUUUCUGAGAGUUGUCUCUCUUUAUCCUCUCUUGGUACAAAAUGAGUACUGAUGGUAUUCUUUGUACAGACUUCACUCUGUUACCCACAGACUGUCUUGAUUUCAGCUAUCCUAUGUUCACCGCAACCACACUGGAGAAACCCAUGGAAAUUCAACCACCGUCUCCUUCCCAGGAUGAACACAAAGUGGGAACAAAGGGAGUUUAAGAUUUAGACUGCAUGUUUCCAAAACACCCAGGGGUCCUGAUGCAUCUGCAACUAUGGGACAGGAGACGGCAAGUACAGUACGACUCCCAAAUCGGCGAGGGAUAAGUUUCCAGAUUUACCCAGGAUAGCGAAAAUUGAGGAUAAUGGCGAACCCUGGUUUCCAGUGGAAGUUGACCAUAGAGUUGCCCCGGAGGACUUCCAGAUGCCUGGAGAGACCUGUUUGUCUGGACUUUGCAUUGACAGUGUCCUGGACAGAAAAAACUCAGGAUUUGCAAUGAUCCGACCCAAUCCUUGGAGAAUUAGUUUGGAAACAUUUCCCUUCAAGUUUCAUUUUUGGCCAUCGGCUCUCCAGAUCUUCACACUCCAUCUUGAAGCGCUUUGGGGAGACGCUUUGUUUGGCGCAUGGGUCAACGUGACCGCACCAGUUGCCUGAGCAGAUGGAGAGAUGUACCACCAGAUAUAUCUUUGUUGCAAAGUGUAUCCUACAAGAAAAAAAAAAGGAAAGAAAGAAAGAAACCCGGGCUUGAUGGAGCAAUGGCACAUCUCCCCACUAUCACUGGCACAUCAAUGGGACAGUAAAACCAGCAAGGACGCCUGAGUGCUACAGACAGAAAAAUCAUCCCUGGCAACAUUAAAAAAAGGGCAUAAAAGUUCAUGGCCGUCCCCCGGGUGGUAAUUAAUGGCACCGUAAGAACCGGGGAGGGGGAAAGAGAGAGACCAAGCACCCGCACUCGCCAAAUGAGCUCACUGCGGCUAAUGUUAUUACUUACUUCACUGAGCUAAGUAACUCUAUGGAAGUGUAGGUCAUCUGCCUGGACUUGGUAGGAAGCCACACGCUAUUAGGGAGCGGAGUUUACUGGCAUUAGUCAAGCGAGUCGGAGGGAGCCCGGUGGUAGCGGAGUUGCAUAGGAGACCUGGUCAUCGUGGGAAAUGGAGAGCUGAGAAGACUGACAACGGAGGAGGAAAAGGAUGUUAUUUAUCUCUUGUUGUUGUGGGCCUUCAAGUCACUUCCAACUUUUGGCAACCCUACAUUUGCCCAAGGUCACCCAGUAAGUUUCCAUGGCUGAGUGGGUAUUCGAAUCCUAGUCUCCAAAGUCAGAGUCCAGUGAUGAAACCACAAGGCCACAUGUCAUCUCAAGAUUGUUCUAUGGCCCUCAGAUUCGCCACCUUCCCCAGACCACCAAUUUCCGGGCUAAAAUGAGGUUUGAACGUCCUCGGCCAAAAGUCUCCAGAAGCAGCAGUGGAUCUUUGAAAUAGGUUACCCACCCACCCACCCCCCAUAAACUCCACCAACAUACAGUGGCCAAGCUCGACUGUAGUUGCAUUGGAUGAUGGAACUAUUGUUGUUGGUUGUUGUUGUGUGCCUUUAAGUCGUUUCCAACUUAUGGUGACCCUAAGGCAACCCUAUCAUGGAACCAUCUCCUUCCCACCAAAAAACCAACUGUUUCUUCCUGGUUGCCCACCAAAGAUGCAGGGAGAUGGAGCAUUGGGGCAUUUUGUAGACCAUCAUUUUUAAUGCCAAGCCAUCUCCUAGGGCUGUGGUUCCCAACCUUUGAUCUUCCAGAUGUUUUGGAAUUCAUCUCUCAUUCCUGACAAGUUGGCUGGGGGCUUCUGGGAUCUGACUUCCAAAACAAAUGGAGGACCAAAGAUCCAGAACCACUGCCGCAGGGCUUAUUAAUACAAAUUACCCCUUUCUGUGUCGGUUGUUGUGGUGGUGGUUGUGUGACGUCAAUUCUUUUCUGAUGUACGGCAACCCUAAAGGGCUUUCUCGGCCAGAUUUAUUCUUGUCCACACAUAUCCUUGUUUUCAUCUGUGAAAUGUUGGGGGAGUGUGAUACAUUCAAGCAACACCUGUCCAACACAACACAAAAAUGCACAGUUUAUCCAAGGACGCCAGAUAUCCAAGAGACAGUCAAAAGACCUGAAAUGCCUUCCGGAGCAAGAGCAGGGGGAAAAAAGAGGCAAGGUUCUUUACCAAUCUCAAAGGCUGAGUGGAGAUGUUAUGCUGGGUAGCGGAGGUGCCGGAGGAAUACAAGAAGAUCAUUUCUUUUACCAAGUGCGGAGACACGGACGAGCAGAGAUAUUGCAGUUGUCAUAUGGAGUCCAGAUGACUUUGACUUAUCAUCAACUUAUGAAGGGGAGACCUCCAAGAUACCUGGUCAUGAACUGGCCUACUUAGGUCUUGCAAACUCAGGGCAGCCAUGGCAUCCUUGAUGGAGUCAAUCCAUCUCUAGUGUAGUCUCCAUUUUCUACUGCCUUCUACUUCACUCCUUUCCAAUGAGUCCCAUCAUCUGAGAGAGAGAGAGAGAGAAGAGCGGCCAGGCACAGCUCCAUCAUGCUUUGGAUUGGCACAUUUUGAUGCUCCGGGAAGCUUUGAAACUUUGGAAGCAUCCCCAGAACAGAGGACAAACCUUGCAAGCGCAGAAAGCAGUCAGAGAAAAGAGAGAUUGCUGUAGAGGUGGAUAGAAAUGACUGAUAGUUGAAAAUAAAAAGAAAAUGAGGGGAAGAAAAAGCUGCUCAUGGAAAGCUCCUUUAAUGUCUGAAGUCGAACCAAGAGUAGAGUCACUGUAAGCCUGGACAUGGUGCAAAUUCUCUCCAGAUAUGCGCAAAGGCACCAUAGCAAUUUUCUUUCCUCCCCUUCCUCCACUUAAAUGGCAAAAUGAAUAAAGCAUUCCAGAUCCCAGCCAAGGAUGGCAUCCAAGUGGCUCGGGUGUUAGAAAAAAAAUCCCCGCCUGCUCUGCUGUGACGUGAACAGAUGGGUGCCUCUGGCGACGCAGCGCUCCCGAUCUCGCUCGGUAAUGAGUCUCUCCGCUUGGCUUGGGCCACAUGCUCCUCUGAAUGAAAGAGGUGGGACCCCGGCACACCGAACACACGAAGAAGGUGGCGCAGAGGGAGAAUCAGCCACCCAGUCGGAAAAACGUCUCACCGAGGCCACAGGUGACAGAUUUGAGUUUCAUGGGUUGGGACCUAAUCCAUUUUUCCUUUCCAUGGAUCCACAGCUUUGCAAUGAUCAGUCACAGUACACAGCUUGGCUUCACAGAAUCAAUUAAUUAAUGGAGUUGGAAAGGACCACAAAGGUCAUCGAAUCCAACCCUCUGCCAUGCAGGAAGGCACACCUUUACAAAUACCUUUACACACACGCAACCUUCCUUGGGUUACAUAUUUGAUUUGAUUUUAUCGCCGAAUGAGUGGAUCCAGUUUGCGUAGGCUGGUAAAGAGAUCUGCAAUUUGAGAGGAUCAAAUUUUUGUAGCCUGAUGGAGAGAU